ensembl:snoRNA
UGCAGUCAAGUCAAAUUCAGCACUCAUUCAUGCUGGGGUCUGGCCCAGAUGGCUGCCACGGCAAGCUCUGCUGUUCAUGGAUUCUGUCUGAGUCCUCUGCCUGGGACCUGGGGAUAAAUUUGGCUGCAGACAUUG